ensembl:misc_RNA Metazoa_SRP Metazoan signal recognition particle RNA
GCCGGGCGUGAUGGCUCACGCCUGUAAUCCCACCACUUUGGGAGGCUGAGGUGGGUGGAUUGCCUGAGGUCAGGAGUUCAAGAUCAGCCUGACCAUCAUGGUGAAAUCCCGUCUCUA